rnacentral:rRNA from 1 species
AAUGUCACAAGACCAAAGGGGGGGACCUUCGGCCCUCUCUCUAUCAUAAGAACCCAUAGGGUAUUAUCUUAUGGGGGGGGUAACCGCCCCCCUGGGACAAUAUCCCUAUGUGGUCAGAGAAGAAGACCCCCCACUGUGACUCUGAGACACACCGUUCAGACUCCUACGGGAAGCAGCAAGGGAAAAUUUUGCACAAUGGGCGCAGCCCUGAUGCCGCUAUGCCGCGUGUAUGAAAAGGGUCUUCGGGUUGUAAAACUUUUUCCGCGGAGAAAAGGGAUAUGUGGUUAAUCCCGCUUUAGAGUGAUGUCCCGCACAAAAGAAGCCCCGGCUAUCUCCGUGCCAGCCGCCGCGGUUAUACAGAGGGUGCACGCGUUUCUCAGAUUUACUGGGCGUAAAGCACACGCAGGCGGUGUGUUAAGUCAGAUGUGAUCUCCCCGGGCUUACCCUGAGAACUGUUUUUGAAUGUGGCAGGUUUGAGUCUCGUAGAGGGGGAUAAAAUUCCAGGUGUAGCGGUGAUAUGCAUAGAGAUCUAGAAGAAUACCGGUGGCGAAGGCGGCCCUGUGGACGAAGACUGACGCUCAGGUGCGAAAGCGUGGAGAGCAAACAAGAUUAGAUACCCUGGUAGUCCACGCCAUAAACGAUGUCGACGUGGAGGGUGUUCUCGUGAAGAGUGGCUUCGAGAGCUAACGCGUUAAGUCGACCGCGUGGAGAGUACGGGCGCAAGGUUAAAUCUCAAAUGUUUUGACGGGGGCCCGCACAAGCGGUAGAGCAUGGGGUUUAAUUCGAUGCAACGCAAAAAACUUUACCUACUCGUGACAUCCAGAGAAUUUGCAGAGAUGCUUUAGUGCUUUCGAGCACUGUGAGACAGGUGCUGCUUGAGGGGCUGUCGUCAGCUCGUGUUGUAAAAUGGUGGGUUUAAGUCCCGACAACGAGCAACAACCUUUAUUCUUGUGUUGCCAGCAAUCUGCGGUGCGGGAACUCUCAAAAAGGAAACUGCGGGUAGAUAAACACCAGAAGAAGGUGGGAAUAUCGCACUCUCAGAUCAUCAAUCGGUGGCCCUUACGAGUAGGGCUACACACGUGCUACAAUGGCGCAUACAAAGAGAAGCGACCUCGCGAGAGCAAGCGGACCUCAUAAAGUGCGUCGUAGUCCGGAUCGGAGUCUGCAACUCGACUCCGUGAAGUCGGAAUCGCUAGUAAUCGUGGAUCAGAAUGCCACGGUGAAU